rnacentral:rRNA from 1 species
AUUGAACGCUGGCGGCAGGCUUAACACAUGCAAGUCGAGCGGUAACAGAGAGAAGCUUGCUUCUCUGCUGACGAGCGGCGGACGGGUGAGUAAUGCCUAGGAAUCUGCCUAGUAGUGGGGGAUAACUUGCCGAAAGGUAAGCUAAUACCGCAUACGUCCUACGGGAGAAAGGAGGGGACCUUCGGGCCUUUCGCUAUUAGAUGAGCCUAGGUCGGAUUAGUUAGUUGGUGAGGUAAUGGCUCACCAAGACCGCGAUCCGUAACUGGUCCGAGAGGAUGAUCAGUCAAACUGGAACUGAGACACGGUCCAGACUCCUACGGGAGGCAGCAGUGGGGAAUAUUGGACAAUGGGGGGAACCCUGAUCCAGCCAUGCCGCGUGUGUGAAGAAGGUCUUAGGAUUGUAAAGCGCCUUAAGUUGGGAGGAAGAGCAGUUAACUAAUAUUUGACUGUUUUGACGUUACCGACAGAAUAAGCACCGGCUAACUUCGUGCCAGCCGCCGCCGUAA